rnacentral:rRNA from 1 species
CGAACGGGUGAGUAAUGCGUGACCAACCUGCCCCAUGCUCCAGAAUAGCUCUUGGAAACGGGUGGUAAUGCUGGAUGCUCCAACUUGACGCAUGUCUUGUUGGAAAGUGUUUAGUGGCAUGGGAUGGGGUCGCGUCCUAUCAGCUUGUAGGCGGGGUAAUGGCCCACCUAGGCUUCGACGGGUAGCCGGCCUGAGAGGGCGGACGGCCACAUUGGGACUGAGAUACGGCCCAGACUCCUACGGGAGGCAGCAGGC